UCGUCCUACCCACAUGACAGACAUUCCCCCUUUCAUGCCUAUGAUUGUGGGGGCCACGGUUGGACGUACAGUAAACCUGUCUGUUUAGGAGGGCUGCACACAGAUAGGUGCUCUCCCUUAAAGGCUUGACAGAACAUG